rnacentral:rRNA from 1 species
AUUGAACGCUGGCGGCAGGCCUAACACAUGCAAGUCGAGCGAGCGGAGGACGGGUGAGUAAUGUCUGGUAAACUGCCUGAUGGAGGGGGAUAACUACUGGAACCGGUAGCUAAUACCGCAUCCCAUCAGAUGUGCCCAGAUGGGAUUAGCUAGUGGGUGGGGUAACGGCACAACUAGGCGACGAUCCCUAGCUGGUCUGAGUGGAUGACCAGCCACACUGGAACGGAGACACGGUCCAGACUCGUACGGGAGGCAGCAGUGGGGAAUAUUGCACAAUGGGCGCAAGCCUGAUGCAGCCAUGCCGCGUGUGUGAAGAAGGCCUUCGGGUUGUAAAGCACUUUCAGCGGGGAGGCGUUACCCGCAGAAGAAGCACCGGCUAACUCCGUGCCAGCCGCCGCGGUAAUUC